UACGUAGGUGGCAAGCGUUGUCCGGAAUUAUUGGGCGUAAAGCGCGCGCAGGCGGUCCUUUAAGUCUGAUGUGAAAGCCCACGGCUCAACCGUGGAGGGUCAUUGGAAACUGGGGACUUGAGUGCAGGAGAGAAGAGUGGAAUUCCACGUGUAGCGGUGAAAAUGCGUAGAGAUGUGGAGGAACACCAGUGGCGAAGGCGACUCUUUGGCCUGUAACGUGACGCUGAGGCGCGAAAGCGUGGGGAGCAAAGCAGGAUUGAGAGUACC
rnacentral:rRNA from 1 species